rnacentral:rRNA from 6 species
GGUUGACCUCGGAUCAGGUAGGA